GACGGAGGGUGCAAGCGUUGUUCGGAUUGACUGGGCGUAAAGGGCGUGUAGGCGGUCGGCCAAGUCUGAUGUGAAAGCCCGAGGCUCAGCCUCGGAAGUGCGUCGGAAACUGGUCGGCUGGAGCGCGAUAGAGGAGGGUGGAAUUCCUGGUGUAGCGGUGAAAUGCGUAGAUAUCAGGAGGAACACCGGCGGCGAAGGCGGCCCUCUGGAUCGGUGCUGACGCUCAUACGCGAAAGCGUGGGGAGCAAACAGG
rnacentral:rRNA from 1 species